UACGAAGGGGGCGAGCGUUGUUCGGAAUUACUGGGCGUAAAGGGCGCGCAGGCGGCCCUUGAAGUCAGGCGUGAAAGCCCCCGGGCUCAACCUGGGAGGUGCGCUUGAUACUCGAGGGCUUGAGUGCGGGAGAGGAGAGUGGAAUUCCCAGUGUAGAGGUGAAAUUCGUAGAUAUUGGGAAGAACACCGGUGGCGAAGGCGGCUCACUGGCCCGGUACUGACGCUGAGGUGCGAAAGCGUGGGGAGCAAACAGG
rnacentral:rRNA from 1 species